UUGCUGGUUCGAUCACCACAGUCACCACCAUUGUGUCCUUGAGUAAGGCACUUAACUCCAGGUUGCUCCGGGGGGAUUGUCCCUGUAAUAAGUGCUCUGUAUAAUACAUUGGUACUCAGAAGGUUGCUGGUUUGAUCCCCACAGUCACCACCAUUGUGUCCUUGAGUAAGACACUUAACUCCAGGUUGCUCCGGGGGGAUUGUCCCUGUAAUAAGUGCUCUGUAUAAUACAUUGGUACUCAGAAGGUUGCUGGUUCGAUCCCCACAGUCACCACCAUUGUGUCCUUGAGUAAGACACUUAACUCCAUGUUGCUCCGGGGGGAUUGUCCCUGUAAUAAGUGCUCUGUAUAAUACAUUGGUACUCAGAAGGUUGCUGGUUUGAUCCCCACAGUCACCACCAUUGUGUCCUUGAGUAAGACACUUAACUCCAGGUUGCUCCGGGGGGAUUGUCCCUGUAAUAAGUGCUCUGUAUAAUACAUUGGUACUCAGAAGGUUGCUGGUUUGAUCCCCACAGUCACCACCAUUGUGUCCUUGAGUAAGGCACUUAACUCCAGGUUGCUCCGGGGGGGAUUGUCCCUGUAAUAAGUGCUCUGUAUAAUACAUUGGUACUCAGAAGGUUGCUGGUUGGAUCCCCACAGUCACCACCAUUGUGUCCUU